UACGAAGGGGACUAGCGUUGUUCGGAAUCACUGGGCGUAAAGCGCACGUAGGCGGAUUCGUAAGUCAGGGGUGAAAUCCCGGGGCUCAACCUCGGAACUGCCUUUGAUACUGCGGGUCUUGAGUCCGAUAGAGGUGGGUGGAAUUCCUAGUGUAGAGGUGAAAUUCGUAGAUAUUAGGAAGAACACCGGUGGCGAAGGCGGCCCGCUGGGCAACUGCUGACACUGAGGCGCGACAGCGUGGGGAGCAAACAGG
rnacentral:rRNA from 1 species